ensembl:snoRNA SNORD65 small nucleolar RNA, C/D box 65
AAAUGAUGAAAUUCACCUAAAGAGCUGGAAUUACCGUCAGAUUGUUUGGUGGUGAACCUAAGGAUUUCUGAUU